UGGGGAAUUUUGGACAAUGGGGGAAACCCUGAUCCAGCAAUGCCGCGUGUGCGAAGAAGGCCUUCGGGUUGUAAAGCACUUUUGUCAGGGAAGAAAUCCUUUGGGCUAAUACCCUAGGGGGAUGACGGUACCUGAAGAAUAAGCACCGGCUAACUACGUGCCAGCAGCCGCGGUAAUACGUAGGGUGCAAGCGUUAAUCGGAAUUACUGGGCGUAAAGCGUGCGCAGGCGGUUGUGUAAGACAGGUGUGAAAUCCCCGGGCUUAACCUGGGAAUUGCAUUUGUGACUGCACGACUAGAGUGUGUCAGAGGGGGGUGGAAUUCCACGUGUAGCAGUGAAAUGCGUAGAUAUGUGGAGGAACACCAAUGGCGAAGGCAGCCCCCUGGGAUAACACUGACGCUCAUGCACGAAAGCGUGGGGAGCAAACAGGAUUAGAUACCCUGGUAGUCCACGCCCUAAACGAUGUCAACUAGUUGYUGGGGAUUUACUUGCCUUGGUAACGUAGCUAACGCGUGAAGUUGWCCGCCUGGGGAGUACGGCC
rnacentral:rRNA from 1 species